rnacentral:rRNA from 1 species
AUGGCUCAGGAUGAACGCUAGCUACAGGCUUAACACAUGCAAGUCGAGGGGCAGCAUUGGGAUAGCUUGCUAUUCCAGAUGGCGACCGGCGCACGGGUGAGUAACGCGUAUCCAACCUUCCCUAUAGUAGAGAAUAGCCCGGCGAAAGUCGGAUUAAUGCUCUAUGUUGUGUUUUGAGGACAUCUGACGAACACCAAAGGUUCACCGCUAUAGGAUGGGGAUGCGUCUGAUUAGCUUGUUGGCGGGGUAACGGCCCACCAAGGCGACGAUCAGUAGGGGUUCUGAGAGGAAGGUCCCCCACAUUGGUACUGAGACACGGACCAAACUCCUACGGGAGGCAGCAGUGAGGAAUAUUGGUCAAUGGGCGAGAGCCUGAACCAGCCAAGUAGCGUGCAGGAAUGACUGCCCUAUGGGUUGUAAACUGCUUUUAUCAGGGAAUAAAGUGCGGCACGUGUGCCGUUUUGUAUGUACCUGAUGAAUAAGGACCGGCUAAUUCCGUGCCAGCCGCCGC